UCCUACGGGAGGCAGCAGUGGGGAAUAUUGCACAAUGGGCGGAAGCCUGAUGCAGCAACGCCGCGUGCGGGAUGACGGCCUUCGGGUUGUAAACCGCUUUCGCCUGUGACGAAGCGUGAGUGACGGUAAUGGGUAAAGAAGCACCGGCUAACUACGUGCCAGCAGCCGCGGUGAUACGUAGGGUGCGAGCGUUGUCCGGAUUUAUUGGGCGUAAAGGGCUCGUAGGUGGUUGAUCGCGUCGGAAGUGUAAUCUUGGGGCUUAACCCUGAGCGUGCUUUCGAUACGGGUUGACUUGAGGAAGGUAGGGGAGAAUGGAAUUCCUGGUGGAGCGGUGGAAUGCGCAGAUAUCAGGAGGAACACCAGUGGCGAAGGCGGUUCUCUGGGCCUUUCCUGACGCUGAGGAGCGAAAGCGUGGGGAGCGAACAGGCUUAGAUACCCUGGUAGUCCACGCUGUAAACGGUGGGUACUAGGUGUGGGGUCCAUUCCACGGGUUCCGUGCCGUAGCUAACGCUUUAAGUACCCCGCCUGGGGAGUACGGCCGCAAGGCUAAAACUCAAA
rnacentral:rRNA from 1 species